CUCUUAUCAAGAGAGGUGGAGGGAAGUGCCCUAUGAAGCCCGGCAACCGUCAAUUAUUUGAAAUGGUGCCAAUUCACUCAAAGCAUAGCUUUGACAGAUGAGAG
rnacentral:ncRNA from 2 species